rnacentral:rRNA from 1 species
AUUGAACGCUGGCGGCAGGCCUAACACAUGCAAGUCGAACGAGUGGCGGACGGGUGAGUAAUAUCUGGGAAACUGCCCGAUGGAGGGGGAUAACUACUGUAAACGGUAUCUAAUACCGCAUACCCUCUGAUGUGCCCAGAUGGGAUUAUCUAGUAGGUGGGGUAACGGCUCACCUAGGCGACGAUCCCUAGCUGGUCUGAGAGGAUGACCAGCCACACUGGAACGGAGAAACGGUCCAGACUCCUACGGGAGGCAGCAGUGGGGAAUAUUGCACAAUGGGCGCAAGCCUGAUGCAGCCAUGCCGCGUGUAUGAAGAAGGCCUGCGGGUUGUAAAGUACUUUCAGCGAGGAGGCGUUACUCGCAGAAGAAGCACCGGCUAACUCCGUGCCAGCAGCCGCGGUAAUUC